rnacentral:rRNA from 1 species
CUUCCGUAGGUGAACCUGCGGAAGGAUCAUUGUCGAUCAACUGCCCCGGCAGAACGACCCGUGAACUAGUUU